rnacentral:rRNA from 1 species
AUUGAACGCUGGCGGCAUGCCUUACACAUGCAAGUCGAACGGUAACAGGUUAAGCUGACGAGUGGCGAACGGGUGAGUAAUACAUCGGAACGUGCCCAGUAGUGGGGGAUAGCCCGGCGAAAGCCGGAUUAAUACCGCAUACGACCUAAGGGUGAAAGGGGGGGAUCGCAAGACCUCUCGCUAUUGGAGCGGCCGAUGUCAGAUUAGCUAGUUGGUGGGGUAAAAGCUCACCAAGGCGACGAUCUGUAGCUGGUCUGAGAGGACGACCAGCCACACUGGGACUUAGACACGGCCCAGACUCCUACGGGAGGCAGCAGUGGGGAAUUUUGGAAAAUGGGGGCAAGCCUGAUCCCGCCCUGCCGCGGGCGGGAAGAAGGCCUUCGGGUUGUAAAACGGUUUUGUCAGGGAAGAAAACCUUUGGGUUAAUACCUCGGGGGGAUGACGGUACCUGAAGAAUAAGCACCGGCUAACUACGUG